CCUACGGGAGGCUGCAGUGAGGAAUAUUGGUCAAUGGGCGCGAGCCUGAACCAGCCAAGUCGCGUGAGGGAUGAAGGUACUGUGGAUUGUAAACCUCUUUUGUCAGGGGAUAAAGUCCGCCACGGGUGGCGGUUAGAGGGUACCUUGUGAAUAAGCAUCGGCUAACUCCGUGCCAGCAGCCGCGGUAAUACGGAGGAUGCGAGCGUUAUCCGGAUUUAUUGGGGUUAAAGGGUGCGGAGGCGGCCGUUUAAGUCAGCGGUAAAAGUGUCGGGCUCAACCCCAGAACGGCCGUUGAAACUGGCGUGCUCGAGUUGGAGAGAGGUAGGCGGAAUUCGUGGUGUAGCGGUGAAAUGCAUAGAUAUCACGCAGAACCCCGAUUGCGAAGGCAGCAUACC
rnacentral:rRNA from 1 species